rnacentral:misc_RNA from 1 species
GAAAUGCGAUAAGUAAUGUGAAUUGCAGAAUUCAGUGAAUCAUCGAAUCUUUGAACGCACAUUGCACCCGCCAGUAUUCUGGCGGGCAUGCCUGUUCGAGCGUCAUUUCAACCAUCAAGCCCCCGGCUUGUGUUGGGGACCUGCGGCUGCCCGCAGGCCCUGAAAAACAGUGGCGGGCUCGCUGUCACACCGAGCGUAGUAGCAUACAUUCUCGCUCAGGGCGUGCUGCGGGUUCCGGCCGUUAAACGACCUUCAUAACCCAAGGUUGACCUCGGAUCAGGUAGGAAGACCCGCUGAACUUAAGC